AUUGAACGCUGGCGGCAUGCCUAACACAUGCAAGUCGAGCGAGCGGCGGACGGGUGAGUAAUGUUUGGGGACUGCCCGUUAGCUGGGGAUAACUACUGGAAACGGUAGCUAAUCCCGCAUACUCUCGGAUAACCCAUGUUGGAUUAGCUAGUAGGUGAGGUAAUGGCUCACCUAGGCGACGAUCCCUAGCUGGUCUGAGCGGAUGAUCAGCCACACUGGGACUGAGACACGGCCCAGACUCCUACGGAGGCAGCAGUGGGGAAGAUGGGACAAUGGGCGCAAGCCUGAUGGAGCCAUGCCGCGUGAAUGAAGAAGGCCCUAGGGUUGUAAAGUACUGUCAGUCGGGAGGCGUUACCGAAAGAAGAAGCACAGGCUAACUCCGUGCCAGCAGCCGCGGUAAUUC
rnacentral:rRNA from 1 species